GGAAUUGACGGGGCCCGCACAAGCGGAGGAGCAUGUGGUUUAAUUCGAUGAUACGCGAGGAACCUUACCUGGGCUCGAACGUAAGAUGACUGUAGGUGAAAGCUUACAUCUCUUCGGAGCAUUUUACGAGGUGCUGCAUGGUUGUCGUCAGCUCGCGCCGUGAGGUGUCGGGUUAAGUCCCAUAACGAGCGCAACCCCUACCUUUAGUUGCCAUCAGGUUAAGCUGGGGACUCUAAAGGAACUGCCUACGCAAGUAGUGAGGAAGGCGGGGAUGACGUCAAAUCAGCACGGCCCUUACGUCCAGGGCUACACACGUGCUACAAUGGCCGAUACAGAGGGCAGCUACCUGGUGACAGGAUGCAAAUCUCCAAAGUCGGUCUCAGUUCGGAUCGGAGUCUGCAACCCGACUCCGUGAAGUUGGAUUCGCUAGUAAUCGCGCAUCAGCCAUGGCGCGGUGAAUACGUUCCCGGGCCUU
rnacentral:rRNA from 1 species